rnacentral:lncRNA from 10 species
AUUUAUCUUUUCUAUUAAAGAUUAAUACCUUGAAAUGUCAAAAUAGCAUAGACUUGAGAAAAAUUUAAGCCUUGUAGAGUUACUCUGUAUACUUACCUAUAACAAGCCUCUAGUGUGCUGGCAGAAUGCAGUGUGCAGAUGAAGGCUGAGAGAUAAUAUCCCACCUCUUCUGCUUCAGCUUCCCAGAGUGGGUGUGGCUAGUGGAGGGGAGUUCAUACAACUGACAAUAUGCUUGCCCAAUAUUUUCUGGCUAACCCUCAUUUCUCACAAUGACUCUUUGUAGGCUUUUUUGUUGUUGUUGUUUUUCAUUUCACCUCCAGGUAUGAUUUUUAUUUUUGCAAAGAACUGAGGGAUGAAAAGUUUUGCCAGCAGAUAUUUGGUGUUGUGAACACGUAGAAGUGGUCUAAGGAAGUUACUGGCCUAGUCUCUGCUCUAGUGGAGAAACAGACUGCAGAUUGAAUUCCUACAUAGGCUAUUCCAGAAUUCUUACGAGACUUGCAUUAGGACAUCAGCAACAGGUAUCAUCUAGUGAACUGUUCAGAUGCAACUGAAUUGAAAAGGAGCUGAACAAAAGAUCCUGAGAGAGACUUCAACAAAAAGUAAAAUGGAUUUUAUCAUACUUGAAAAAUCAACAAUUGCAGUCUGGAUUCAUACAUCACUGUCUGAUGCACCCAACUUGAGUCAAAAAGAUGUUUCAAAUCCCACUAGGCUGGAGGCAAAAAUACUCAAGAGUUUAAGAGCGUCUCUUGACAGUGUACAGAAUAAGAUAGCUUCUCAGCUUUCAGCUUUACUUCACGGUUUUAACUAUCAAAAGAAGCAAGCCAUCUGAAGAUUUGCCUGAGACUGAAGGAUCCACUUCUGCGACGACUCCCUCAGGACUUAUAAUGCAGAUGGAACCAGAUUGAGAAAAACCAGCCAACCAACCAACCAACAUGAUGGCUGAACCAGACAAGAGAAGUCCCGAAGUAAAAUACCCACCAAUUACCAGAAUCUGUGCCUGCCAUACAUCGAAGGUAUUGUAUCCAUGAUGGCAUGCUGCUUUUUGUGGUGUUUUGAUUGAUGUCACAAUUUCCCAGCAGUCCUUCCACAGCCAUUCUGAGAUAGCAUCCAGAAAUCAAUGAAACAUCAGAAUAGGAAGUAUUUGUGUAUGUAGACUAAUGUGGCACAUUCCAUCUUGGAAGAUGUAAUCCUUAAAGGAAGGAAGAAAGAAUCUUG